CUUUCUAAGGAGAAAGGCUAACUAACACUUAGCACAAGAUGACUACUAGUAAGUAGUAAUAUUCUCUAAAUUUGUUCAUCAUAUUCAGUUUUGAAAGACUUAAAGUAAUUUAAGUGUUUCAAGAAGUAAAGAAAGUCUUUGAAAAGUAGAUAAAUGAUGUCUGAAAAGAAAUAAGGU
rnacentral:misc_RNA from 1 species